rnacentral:rRNA from 1 species
CGCGUAGGCGGCGCGGUAAGUCACUUGUGAAAUCUCUGAGCUUAACUCAGAACGGCCAAGUGAUACUGCAGUGCUAGAGUGUGGAAGGGGCAAUCGGAAUUCUUGGUGUAGCGGUGAAAUGCGUAGAUAUCAAGAGGAACACCUGAGGUGAAGACGGGUUGCUGGGCCAACACUGACGCUGAGGCGCGAAGCCAGGGAGCAAACG